rnacentral:rRNA from 1 species
UACGUAGGGUGCGAGCGUUAAUCGGAAUUACUGGGCGUAAAGCGUGCGCAGGCGGUUUUGUAAGCCAGAUGUGAAAGCCCCGGGCUCAACCUGGGAAUGGCAUUUGGGACUGCAAGGCUGGAGUUUGGCAGAGGAGACUGGAAUUCCCGGUGUAGCAGUGAAAUGCGUAGAUAUCGGGAGGAAUACCGAUGGAGAAGGCAGGUCUCUGGGCUAUAACUGACGCUCAUGCACGAAAGCGUGGGGAGCAAACAGG